rnacentral:rRNA from 1 species
UAGGGAAUAUUGGUUAAUGUGCGAAGGCGCGAACCAGCAACGCCGCGUGUGCGAAGAAGGCCUUCGGGUUGUAAAGCACUUUUUGAGAGGAUGAGGAAGGACGGUACUCUCAGAAUAAGUCUCGGCUAACUACGUGCCAGCAGCCGCGGUAACACGUAGGAGGCAAACGUUAUCCGGAUUUACUGGGCGUAAAGCGCGUGUAGGUGGUUUGGUAAGUAGAGCGUGAAAGCUCCUGGCUCAACUGGGAGAGGUCGUUCUAAACUGCCGGACUAGAGGAUGGUAGAGGGAGGUGGAAUUCCGGGUGUAGCGGUGGAAUGCGCAGAUAUCCGGAGGAACACCAGUGGCGAAAGCGGCCUCCUGGACCACUCCUGACACUCAGACGCGAAAGCUAGGGUAGCAAACG